CAUGGAGAGAGUCGACAGACGAUUGCUUUUUCCAAAAUAAACUAGUUCUAUUGUUUGUACUGGGUCUUUACCGUUUGUGCUGAGGUUAAAAUGACUCGCGGAAUUCUCAUGUGUUAGAGGGUAUCUAGGAAAAGCAGUUACAUACCAUCAAUUUAAAUGACAUGGAUCAAAUUGACUAACAGUUUUGAAAGUCUAACGUUCAUUCCUUGAUCAGGACGAGUUGAAGAAGAGGCAUAACUUUCAACGACGACAAGUCCGCGAGAACA